CUCAGAAAAUAUACGGUAGAACCGUAGAAGUGUAUUUUUUCUAGAGAGAGAGAGACGGUGAGGGGGGUUUGCAGCAGAAACGAGGAGGAGAGUGGAGGGAAUAAGGGAUUAGUGGGGCGAGGAAGGCAAGAAAGAUUGGGGGGGGGGGGGGGGUGUUGGAGUUUAGGCAUCAGUAACGAGGGGGAGCCAAGGGGAGAGAGGAUGAUUCUUCCCAAAUAUUCAAUGCCUGCGAGCGAGAAAGAACAAUCCCAUCUGAUACUGAUUAUUAUCUGAACAGAAAGAACUCAACACACUCUCUCUUUAAUUACUCCUCCAACCCCCCCACCCUCUCCCCUUUUACUUAUUAUAGAUGAUGCCUUAUAACUUGCCUCUCCAAGUGCAGGCCUUCUCCAGUUACCACUUCCCACCCUUCUCUCCUCCCAUCUCUCUGCACUUUGCUUGCGUGCAAUCCACUCAAUACCCCUCUCUCUUCCUCCAUUUACUACACCAAUUACUCCUUCUUCCCUCAUAUGGAGAGAACCAUCUCUUUCUCUACCAUUUACUACACACCCAUAACGCCCUUUUCCCUCAUAUAUAGAGAGAGCCGCUCAUUGUCCCAUCCUCUCUCUCUCUCUCUCUCACUUGGGGUGUGUAUAUAUAUAUGUGUGUGUGGUGUCCAGUGGUUGAAAUGAAGGAGAAUACUCGAUUCUAUGUGGUAUUCAGCUAAGGGAAGAAUUAAGAUCGAGGCCCUUUUAAUUUCAUGUGGGUUUAGCAAAGGGUUUCUUACAGAGUUUAUUGGCAUUCUGUCCACCUCCACUUCACUUGAGGAUGAAUUAUACCCUCUCUCUCUCUCUCUCUCUCUCUUUUCAUUGGAGGUGGGCAUCCUGCCAACCGAGCUCUGUUGGCUUCUCUUUGUAAAACUCAUGUGAUGAUCUUUCAGUAAGGGCUCCUCCUUUCAGCCUUCGGCAGCCCUCUUUUCUCAAUCAAGGUUAGGAGGUAUUUCUUCGAUGUCAGCUAAGCAGGUACUGGAAGUUCAAUUUAUAUGCAGAAGCAAUAUCAACUUAGCAUGAAUGCUUGAGAUAAUGAUCCAUCCAAGUGUCCUUUUGAAACCUUAAUUCUUGCUUCCUUCGUUUUUUCUCCUCUCCCCCCACCCCACCCCAAAAUUCCACUAUUGUUCAACUGUUCAUAUAUGAUAUAUCUUUUGUUUCAAAUUUAUCAUCUAUCAUGGCUACAGUUCUGUUCUCUACUGAAGACAGUUGCCAGAAAUGGUACUGUACUCUGGAGGGAAUAUGGAUGAAUGAGAUCUAUUCCUCGAGGGAAUAUGGAUGUAUGAGAUCUAUUCCUCGUUAAGUAUCUUUCCUUCAUCUGUGGAACUUGAGUUUUUUUUUUUUUGUAAUUGAGAAGUCCUUGUGACUCUGAAUGAGGAGUCUCUUUUUGGUUGGUGCAUGGGCUGUCAAUCCAAAGAGAUACAAGAGAAGAGUUCAUGAUGGGUUAGCUGUGCAUGGUUUCCCAAUUGUUCAAUUUCUCCAUUUGCAGGUUGCACCACCUACUUGGUAUCAGUAUUACCUACUGUGCAGGCCAUGAGCAUAUCAUCACUCUCAAGUUUCUCCUGAUUUCAUUACUUCAUUGAAGACUGUUUGUUUCUUGCUAGUGGGUUGAGGUUGUGUUUAGCUCUUGCUCCCACGGUUUGAAGCUUUCAGUGUUAGGGGAUAUGCCCUCCCAUGGCUUCUUCUAUCUGUCUGUUUUAUGGAGUGGUCUUGUGCUGUGCUGUGGAACUUCUGGGUUCUGAGCUUAAUGCUCACUGUUAAUGAAAGUUAGUAUUGGUAUUGAAUUGUAUUAUGAGUUUUGAACAUUUGAUGCCCACAGAAGGACGAAAUAAAAGCAACACAAUCAAUUAUAUUUGGGGACCA